GACGUAGGGCGCGAGCGUUGUCCGGAUUUAUUGGGCGUAAAGCGCGCGCAGGCGGCCUUUUAAGUCUGAUGUGAAAGCCCACGGCUCAACCGUGGAAGGUCAUUGGAAACUGGAAGGCUUGAGUACAGAAGAGGAAAGCGGAAUUCCACGUGUAGCGGUGAAAUGCGUAGAGAUGUGGAGGAACACCAGUGGCGAAGGCGGCUUUCUGGUCUGUAACUGACGCUGAGGCGCGAAAGCGUGGGGAGCAAACAGG
rnacentral:rRNA from 1 species